rnacentral:piRNA from 1 species
CCCGCAGUUAAACAUGUCCUCCGAUCA